GACGAACGCUGGCGGCGUGCUUAACACAUGCAAGUCGAACGGUAAGGCCCUUCGAGGUACACGAGUGGCGAACGGGUGAGUAACACGUGGGAACCUUCCUAGGGGUACGGAACAACUCAGGGAAACUUGAGCUAAUACCGUAUACGUCCGUGAGGAGAAAGAUUUAUCGCCCUUAGACGGGCCCGCGUCGGAUUAGCUAGUUGGUGGGGUAACGGCCUACCAAGGCGACGAUCCGUAGCUGAUCUUAGAGGAUGAUCAGCCACACUGGGACUGAGACACGGCCCAGACUCCUACGGGAGGCAGCAGUGGGGAAUCUUGGACAAUGGGGGCAACCCUGAUCCAGCCAUGCCGCGUGAGUGAAGAAGGUCUUCGGAUUGUAAAGCUCUUUUGCCAGGGACGAUAAUGACGGUACCUGGAGAAUAAGCCCCGGCAAACUUCGUGCCAGCAGCCGCCGUAA
rnacentral:rRNA from 1 species